GACGAACGCUGGCGGCGUGCCUAAUACAUGCAAGUAGAACGCUGAAGGAGGAGCUUGCUUCUCUGGAUGAGUUGCGAACGGGUGAGUAACGCGUAGGUAACCUGCCUGGUAGCGGGGGAUAACUAUUGGAAGCGAUAGCUAAUACCGCAUAAGAGUAGAUGUUGCAUGACAUUUGCUUAAAAGGUGCAAUUGCAUCACUACCAGAUGGACCUGCGUUGUAUUAGCUAGUUGGUGGGGUAACGGCUCACCAAGGCGACGAUACAUAGCCGACCUGAGAGGGUGAUCGGCCACACUGGGACUGAGACACGGCCCAGACUCCUACGGGAGGCAGCAGUAGGGAAUCUUCGGCAAUGGACGGAAGUCUGACCGAGCAACGCCGCGUGAGUGAAGAAGGGUUUCGGAUCGUAAAGCUCUGUUGUAAGAGAAGAACGAGUGUGAGAGUGGAAAGUUCACACUGUGACGGUAUCUUACCAGAAAGGGACGGCUAACUACGUG
rnacentral:rRNA from 1 species